rnacentral:rRNA from 1 species
UUCCGGUUGAUCCUGCCGGACCCCACUGCUAUCGAGGUGGGACUAAGCCAUGCUAGUUGAGCGCACAGAACUAUGUCUGUGAGCGGCACACUGCUCAGUAACACGUAGCUAACCUACCCUUAGGACGUGGACAACCCCGAGAAAUUGGGGCUAAUCCGCGAUAGAUGUAUUGUCCUGGAAUGGUAUUACGUCUAAAGGUAUCCCAUACAUGUUUGGUAUACGCCUAAGGAUGGGGCUGCGGCCGAUCAGGCUGUUGGUGAGGUAAUGGCUCACCAAACCUUUGACCGGUACGGGCCAUGAGAGUGGUUGCCCGGAGAUGGACACUGAGACAAGGGUCCAGGCCCUACGGGGCGCAGCAGGCGCGAAACCUCCUCAAUGCACUUACGUGCGAAGGGGCUACCUCGAGUGCCACCUGAUGAAGGUGGCUUUUCCUAGGUCUAAAAAGCCUUGGGAAUAAGAGGGGGGCAAGACUGGUGUCAGCCGCCGCGGUAACACCAGCCCCUCGAGUGGUGGGGAUGAUUAUUUGGCCUAAAGCGUCCGUAGCCUGCCGGGUAAGUUUCCCG